rnacentral:rRNA from 1 species
CUCCGGUUGAUCCUGCCGGACCCGACUGCUAUCAGAGUGGGACUAAGCCAUGCGAGUCAACGCAGCAAUGCGUGGCAUACGGCUCAGUAACACGUAGUCAACAUGCCCAGGGGACGUGGAUAACCUCGGGAAACUGAGGAUAAACCACGAUAGGCCAAGGUUUCUGGAAUGGACACUGGCUGAAACCUACAUGGCCCCUGGAUUGGACUGCGGCCGAUCAGGCUGUUGGUGAGGUAAUGGCCCACCAAACCUGUAACCGGUACGGGCUUUGAGAGAAGGAGCCCGGAGAUGGGCACUGAGACAAGGGCCCAGGCCCUAUGGGGCGCAGCAGGCGCGAAACCUCUGCAAUAGGCGAAAGCUUGACAGGGUUACUCUGAGUGAUGCCCGCUAAGGGCAUCUUUUGGCACCUCUAAAAAUGGUGCAGAAUAAGGGGUGGGCAAGUCUGGUGUCAGCCGCCGCGGUAAUACCAGCACCCCGAGUGGUCGGGACGAUUAUUGGGCCUAAAGCAUCCGUAGCUUGUUCUGCAAGUCCUCCGUUAAAUCCACCUGCUCAACAGAUGGGCUGCGGGGGAUACUACAGGGCUAGGAGGCGGGAGAGGCAAACGGUACUCAGUGGGUAGGGGUAAAAUCCUCUGAUCCACUGAAGACCACCAGUGGCGAAGGCGGUUUGCCAGAACGCGCUCGACGGUGAGGGAUGAAAGCUGGGGGAGCAAACCGGAUUAGAUACCCGGGUAGUCCCAGCUGUAAACGAUGCAGACUCGGUGAUGGGUUGGCUUUGAGCCAACCCAGUGCCGCAGGGAAGCCGUUAAGUCUGCCGCCUGGGGAGUACGGUCGCAAGACUGAAACUUAAAGGAAUUGGCGGGGGAGCA